rnacentral:rRNA from 1 species
CGUAGGUGGCAAGCGUUGUCCGGAUUUAUUGGGUUUAAAGGGUGCGUAGGUGGCCCUGUAAGUCAGUGGUGAAAUAUCUCAGCUUAACUGAGAGGGUGCCAUUGAUACUGCAGGGCUUGAGUACAGAUGAGGUAGGCGGAAUUGACGGUGUAGCGGUGAAAUGCAUAGAUAUCGUCAAGAACACCGAUAGCGAAGGCAGCUUACCAAGCUGUAACUGACACUGAGGCACGAAAGUGUGGGGGAUCAAACAGGAUUAGAUACCCCUGGUAGUCCACACUGUAAACGCUGAUGACUCGAUGUUGGCGAUACACUGCCAGCGUCCAAGAGCAAUCGUUAAGUCAUCCACCUGGGGAGUACGCCGGCAACGGUG